rnacentral:rRNA from 1 species
GGUGAACGCUGGCGGCGUGCUUAACACAUGCAAGUCGAACGGUGAAGGCGGAGCUUGCUCUGCUGGAUCAGUGGCGAACGGGUGAGUAACACGUGAGCAAUCUGCCCCUGACUCUGGGAUAAGCGCUGGAAACGGCGUCUAAUACUGGAUACGAGCUGCGAAGGCAUCUUCAGCAGCUGGAAAGAAUUUCGGUCAGGGAUGAGCUCGCGGCCUAUCAGCUUGUUGGUGAGGUAAUGGCUCACCAAGGCGUCGACGGGUAGCCGGCCUGAGAGGGUGACCGGCCACACUGGGACUGAGACACGGCCCAGACUCCUACGGGAGGCAGCAGUGGGGAAUAUUGCACAAUGGGCGAAAGCCUGAUGCAGCAACGCCGCGUGAGGGACGACGGCCUUCGGGUUGUAAACCUCUUUUAGCAGGGAAGAAGCGGAAGUGACGGUACCUGCAGAAAAAGCGCCGGCUAACUACGUG